GCUGAGUUCAGUAACGUGGGCUUGUAACCCAAGUGGGGGCUUUAAGGUGUUGUGACGUUGUUUUGAGCCCUUAUGGCAGGAUCAGGCUUGGCUAAUUUCUGGCUUGCCCGUUCCAAGCUGAGAGUUAAACCAUGGGACCUGGGCGAAGGCUUGGGUCUCCUAGUUCCUAGAGCAGAGGGUAAUGCGUGAGGCUGGCUUCACAGAGCAGCGAUUACCUCUCGCUCCCAGCAGUGGAAGGAUAACAGGUCAGUGCCAUCCUGGUCCAUAUGGCUAGAUGGGUUGUGCUAACUGGACCAUCACUUUU
rnacentral:SRP_RNA from 1 species